rnacentral:rRNA from 1 species
UAGGGAAUCUUCGGCAAUGGGGGCAACCCUGACCGAGCAACGCCGCGUGAGUGAAGAAGGUUUUCGGAUCGUAAAGCUCUGUUGUAAGAGAAGAACGUGUGUGAGAGUGGAAAGUUCACACAGUGACGGUAACUUACCAGAAAGGGACGGCUAACUACGUGCCAGCAGCCGCGGUAAUACGUAGGUCCCGAGCGUUGUCCGGAUUUAUUGGGCGUAAAGCGAGCGCAGGCGGUUUAAUAAGUCUGAAGUUAAAGGCAGUGGCUUAACCAUUGUUCGCUUUGGAAGCUGUUAAACUUGAGUGCAGAAGGGGAGAGUGGCAUUCCAUGUGUAGCGGUGAAAUGCGUAGAUAUAUGGAGGAACACCGGUGGCGAAAGCGGCUCUCUGGUCUGUAACUGACGCUGAGGCUCGAAAGCGUGGGGAGCAAACAGG